rnacentral:rRNA from 1 species
ACUAGUCUGGGAUACCACUUGGAAACAGGUGCUAAUACCGGAUAAGAAAGCGGAUCGCAUGAUCAGCUUUUAAAAGGCGGCGUAAGCUGUCGCUAUGGGAUGGCCCCGCGGUGCAUUAGCUAGUUGGUAAGGUAAAGGCUUACCAAGGCGAUGAUGCAUAGCCGAGUUGAGAGACUGAUCGGCCACAUUGGGACUGAGACACGGCCCAAACUCCUACGGGAGGCAGCAGG